ACCGGGUCGUAAGUUAUGAUGGUUUAAUUCGAUUUUUGAUGUGAAGAAAAAAAUCGGUAAAACUGAAUAACCAUUGCCCAAAUUUAAGUGAAAACUGUAGCAAAACAGAAUACUUUCGAUUGUGAGUGAUACGGGUAGGAUAUUUCGGAACCAAAACCACGGGAAUCGCCUUUUUUUCGUUCGGGUUUCCGAUGGUUUUUUGUUCUCGCGUAAGUCCUUUGGGAGGAGCGCGCCCUUGUGAUUGCGAAAGGAAUUUUUUUUUCUCCUGCUUUCAGGGUGUGCUAAUCGACUAACACCAAAACUAAAAGAAAAAAAGACAGUCUAAAUGGUCAGCAUAAGUUGAAACUUCUCGUGUGACACAAAAUCACAGAGCAAAUUUGCGGUUUUCGGUGAGAAUGGAGCUGGUGGACACGGCCCAUACGACGGAAAUGUGCUACCUAACACCCUCGGGUUCAUCGGACAUGGGCGGAGGAAAACUCACCAAUUCUCACCACCGUCAGCCGCAGCAAAACAAUAACAACGGAAUGGCACCGCUGUGCCAAGCGGAAACCGACGACAAUGACGAUCCGGGUCGGUACGCGUACGCUGGUGACGAUCCGCCCCCGGCCGAUGGGUUCAACGAGGGCAGCAAUGGCAACCGGGAGGAGCAGGAGGAAGAGGAUGACUACGGACUGGAGGAGGUAUACCGGACGGUUCACAGUGGACAGUCGGCCGUUCAGUGGAUCAACGAUGACGAUGAAAUCGAACGGUUGGAUCUGUCGCUGUCGAUCGAUCCGGCCAAUAUCGUUUUCAAUCGGGUGGACAGUGCGGACAUUAUCUACCAGGCCAAGCGGAAAAAGUGCAAACUGGUCGGGAAAUACGUGAUGGGGGACGUACUGGGCGAAGGAAGCUUCGGCAAGGUUAAGGAGGUGCUGGAUUCCGAAACGCUCAGCCGACGGGCGGUUAAGAUCUUCACCAAACGGAAACUGCGGCGCAUCCCAAACAGCGAACAGAACGUCCGGUGCGAGAUCAAUCUGCUGCGGAAGUUGCACCACAACAACGUGAUCGAGCUACUGGAUGUGCUGUACAACGAGGAGAAGCAGAAGAUGUACUUGAUCAUGGAGUACUGCGUCGGUGGUCUGCAGGAGAUGCUGGAUUCGGUGCCGACGAAGAAACUACCGAUGCACCAGGCUCACAGCUACUUUGUCCAGUUGCUGAGUGGGCUGGAGUAUCUGCACGGGAUGGGCGUCGUCCACAAGGACAUCAAACCGGGCAAUCUGCUGCUGACGUUGGAUCACACGCUGAAGAUAUCGGACUUUGGCGUAGCGGAGGCAUUGGAUAUUUUUGCACCGAACGACGACUGCACCAAUGGACAGGGGACACCGGCUUUUCAACCACCGGAGAUUGCCAACGGACACGAGGUGUUCUCCGGGUUUAAGGUUGACAUUUGGAGCUGUGGAGUUACGCUUUACACAAUCGCAACGGGAAAGUAUCCGUACGAAGGUGAUAAUAUUUACAAAUUAUUAGAAAAUAUAGGAAAAUGUGAGUGGGUUGCGCCCGACUGGUUGGAAAGUCGACUGGCGGAUCUGUUGACGAACAUUCUGAAAGAGGAUCCCACGGAACGGUUCAGUUUGCAACAAAUUCGACAACAUGAAUGGUUCCGUUGUGCACCGAUCGCUACUGAUCCCUGCGUACCGGUGCCACCCCUCAAAGGAGACUCAAUCCGACGUUCCACUGUUUUGCCUUACCUAGAAGCACACCACUACGAGGCGGAUCGCGAUCUGGCCAACGUGUACUUCACCGAACACGACAUUAACGAGGAGAUAGCCCGACAGCAGCUGGAUCCGGGCUGCCCGCACGGGUUGGAAUCGAUUUCGUACCAAUCGGACGAAUACCACCAACAGCAUCACCAUCACCGUCAGUAUCAGAACAACAGCAGUAACGUCAGUGCUAGCUAUUCCGGCAAAGGUGCCGGUGAUGCGGACAGCGGAACGGCGAAUCGGACCCAGCGGAAGAUGCGUAGUAUUUCCCUCUCGCCGAAAUUUAGCUCGCGCCAUGCCACAGCCUCAGCCCCCGAGGGUGCCACGAAGCGAUCCCGUCACCACAAAAAGCCCGUUUCCUGUAUAUCGUGGAAAAAGUGGUCCCACUGUCGACAAUCGUGAAGCAAUGAGAGAGAGGGAGAACCAGAGGCCGGCUGUUUCGCGGCGGGUCCCCGUGCGCUGAUGCCAUUCGAUGUAUUUUUUAUUUAAAUUGUUUCUCUAGAACUUAGAUAACUGUAAAUUUUAGCAGUGUUAGGAAAAUGGAACAUACUAUCUAUAGGCAAUCUAUUGAACUACUUUUCGAAUUUAGAGUAGACGAAGUUACAAACAGACAAACAAAUUUCGACGUGGAUGGGCCGGAUCCAAGGUCCCAUUAGAAACAGAGAAGAAAAAAACCAACUAAACAAACGGUUGCGCUAGGGUUUUGUGAGGAAUUUACUGGAUAUGAACAAAUGCCUUGUCAUAGGUUAGUCAGAGCAAAAGUAGUCAAACUCCGGAGAACACUCCCAAGUGAACGAUGGAAACCGAAGCGAACGAAGUGUUACGUCGUUAGGAUGAGAAAUGAUGGUUUUCCGGAUUGGCGGUACCGAAUUUUAGGUUCCUUUAUGAUGUGAAUAUGUAUGAUAUGUAAAUAGUAGUGACACACAAAUUGGAAGACAAUUCGUAAACGUUUUUGUUUUCUUUUUUGGACUCGUGGGUUUGAUCAAAGUUUCGAUUCUGAGGCUGCACUGCUGAUUGGUUCCAACGAUCAUGGUUUUAAUUUCUUGGGAUUUCCUAAUUUUCGUCUUCUUUCAUUUUUUUACCACUGAUAUUUGCAAGUUCCAACUGCAAGGCUUCGGCAACGGAAAGCUCUAUAUGCUAAUUCUAUUUAGUAAAGCAAAACGGUACGAAACAUCAAGAAAAUAUUUGUGGAUCUAUAAAAACAUUAAAAUUGUAUUAUUUUUUUUUUAAUUUUUCGUGUUGAAAUGUUCCCGACCCCAGCACUCGCUUGUCAACACCGAUCAGCUGCUUGCAGGGAUGCCUGAUUUCAUUUUUUUCUUUAAUUUAUAUGGGACUUCGUAAUCUUGAGUUUAUCUUUGCUAGUGCAUGACGAAAAUUUAUUUUUAUAAUAAUUUACUCAUAGUGUCAUGUCUGUUAGUCUGUGACACUACUAGAGAUGGGAAAUAUCGCAUAAAAUCUGUUAUCGAUAAUAUCGAUGUAUCUCAAUUCAAUAUCGAUAUUAUCGAUAAAUAUCGAUAUUUGUCACCAGCUAAAUGAAAAUUUCGACCGUCCCACGACAAAAGGGCCUAACUGUAAAUGACAGUUACUCUUUGUUUACUUUUUCUUUCACGAUUUAUCGAACUGAUUUUAUAUAUGAUGCUUUACUCUUCGCAAAACUUUCAUGGUAAAACUACAAGCUUUCGAUUUAUAUUGGAAACUUUAGAUAAUUUGCAGUAAUGGCUCCGUAAUAAUCAAAAGAGAAAGUAAACAAAGAGAGGCUCUCAUUUGCAGUUAGGCCCUUUUGUCGUGGGACUAUCGAUUUAUUAAAACAAGAAAGUAUAUUUGAUUGCAAAAAAUAAUUUUAGGUUCACAGCCGAACAAAUUACAUUUUCAAAAAUUGAAAUAUCCCUGGGCUCAAACAAGCCGUGUUUCCCGCUGUGGAAUUGACUCUUUCAGCGUCUUUUUUUUGCUAGAAUUAUCAAAAGACGCUGUGCAAUAAAUUUCUGUGUAAUUUUCUCAAUAAGAGAAAAUAUCUCGGUUGAUUUUUCAAAAGGGCGUAUAAGCAAGUGACAGUUUCUCUUUAUUUACUUUCUCUUCUAUUAAUUACCAAGCGGUUUCCACGUUUAUCACUCAACUCUUUGCAUGAAAUGAUACCCGAAACUUUCGACUUUCAAACAGAAUAGUUAUAUAAAAAAAAUCUUUUUAAUCACAUCACAAUAAUCGAAAGAGAGAGUGAUUAAAGAGAAACUGUCACUUGCUUAUACGCCCUUUUGAAGAGUUGCGUACAGGACGUCAAUUUUAGCAGACCCUGUCAGCUUGGAGCGAAAUCAAUCUUCAGUCCAGUAACGCCAUCGCACGGCAUCACAUUCAACAUAUCAUGUCUGUGUAUUUUAUAACUAUUAAUCGAAAAUGGAAUCACCCAGAACGGUGCACUUCUUACCUGUAUGGUUGUUCGUGAUGAAAUGUCAGAAGCUGGGGUGGAAUCAUGUAAGGUGAUAAGUGACUAUCACCUCCUGGUGAUAACGAGGUGAUCACCAGAAUGUUUGGAAUCACCGAAGGUGAUCACUUUUACUAUCACCAUCACCGGUUAUUGAGCCAACUUCACUCCAUUUAUUACCUGUCAAGAAACGUCAAUUUUUCAGGAGUCAAAUAUGAAUGUGGCGUAUACCGUUGAUAUUAGGAGGAGUAGCAUAUGAAUGUGGCGUAUACCCAUAUAAUAUUUUAAAAUCUAAAGUUUUAUUCCUUUAGUUUUCAACUUUUUUCAUUAAUUCGAGUCAUGUUUAUCAACGAUGAUUUGUAUGGAUCGAAGAGUAACGUUGAAAAAAAUAACCUGCGCACAAACAAAUAAAAAAAAUCACUUGUUGGUUUAAUUGAGCGCCGAUUUUUAUUUUUCAAUGGAAAUCAAUGUCACAGUCAAUUCUUUGGGAUAAAUUUGCUAGCUUUGAAAUGACACGAAUUGUUAGAUCUUCUUGAUGUUUCACAACGGAUGGCAUUCCUCUCGAAUGAGAAAGAUCCGUUAAAUAAUUUCUUGUAUAGUUUUCAUUCACUUUACGAUUAUGGCAUUUCACAGAGCUUUCAAAUGCUACCUCCAUUUUGGAAAUUUUACCCACCGGUACUACGAAUAUCCACUAUGAUUAGCAGCAACUAAUUGUCCAAAAAUAUUGCCUUAUUUAGUUCAACUCACAAGAAAAUUAAGAACGCAGUUUAAUCUUUUUUACUCGUUCAGUUGAACGAGACUGAUAUGUCGCUUACUAAGUCACGGCCAUCUAAUUCUACUGAAAAUGUUAGCAUAGAUUUUUUUAUGUUACGUUAUGUGCAACAGGAGAUGUCUACAUUCAUAAACUUAUCACUUUUCCAGAAAGCAAUUUAUCUUUGACUUUACGAAUACCCCAAUGAUAUUCCUUCAAAUAAUAAUUAUAACAUAAAUGAAUCGAUUUAAUUGAUAAAUACUACCGUUCAUUCUAUGAAUUCUUUAAACUAUAUAAACUAAGUUACUUUUCAUUUUGGUAUUUAAUUUUGACACAAUAUGAGUACGAAUUUCAUUAAAAAAAUUAUCCUCUCCGACCAAUAUUGGUAGGUUAUUUUUAUAUCAGUGGCUUAAAAUUCACCUAACGGACAAUAAUUUAUAAAGCCACUUCUCAAAAAAUCAAAUCACUACUGAAAGUGAUAACUAAAUUGCUAUCACCUCCAUUUUGACAUGAAGGUGAUUAAAUCGUGGUGACUAUCACCUUCAGUGCUGUAAAACUUCAUUCAAUUCAAUUGAAACUGAAUGUGGAACACAUUGACGAUCUCUCGAAUGCAGUAAACUUCACUCUCUGACACACCCAAUGUUUGCUGACGGCCCGAACGGGCAGCAUUCAGUCAUCAAUCGUUUCUCUUCAAUCGAGGCACAGUUUAACCACAAACGAAUUUCCAGACAUGACAGUCACGAUCUUUUUUUGGCGCACAUCUUCAGUCCUCCGUAAAACUGGCAACAAUGGUGAUAAAUUGGUUGCACUGCUGAGUUCCCAUCCUACAUUCCUAAUGCAAAUGUCCAACCGUGAGAACCCUUUCGAUUCGGUAGCUCAUUUGUAUAUAUUGAGAUUUUAUGGCACACUUUGGUUGAAAUGAUAACAAUGCAAUUAAUCUCGCGCUCCACCAAGCGGUGAGUGCGGUCAUUUCAGAAGGUACCGGGAACGAACCACAUUUUUCAAAAAUAUUUAUAUGCACGUACAUGUCUUUAUUAUUUAUCUUUGGUUUAACCACCGUCAGUUGAUCUCUUGAAGUAACAAAAUAUCUCUUUCAAUAGUGUGAGAGCGUCCUUCAAAUGAGGUUCAUGUAAACAUUCCAAUUGGUUCAAGAUAAUAGAUGAAAGACAAACCAGAUUGCUGAAAUGUCAAUCACAGAAUACACAUAAAUUAAUUGUUUCCUCCAUUAGUUUUCAUUUUUAAUACUUUACUCCAUUUAUUAUUCUAUUCGUUCGAAUUUGCUUACUACCAAGAGCGAAGGCAAUGAAGGAGUUACACUACUCCGCACUUGAAACUGAGCAAGCAAAACUUCAAAUGACUAUCAACGAUUAUUCAACUGACUAUGAAUUCCGGGAGCUUCACUUGAAAAUGGCAGCAAAAGUCAAAUGAAUUAGUAGGGAUAUGCUGACGGUCAGCGGCCAUAAAUUUCGUUUUCAUCUUAUAUUAUUCGAUUGAAAAUGAAAUUUUACUGCACUGAUCACCUUACGUAAUGCCAACGUUUGAUAGUGAUGUUAGCCUCUCAGCAGUGGUGACAGAACUUGGUGAUUAUCACCUUACGUGAUUCCAAAUUUUCAAAAGUGAUAAUCACUUGAUGAUAAUCACCUUACAUGAUUCCACCCCUGGGGUGGAAUCAUGUAAGGUGAUAAGUGACUAUCACCUCCUGGUGAUAACGAGGUGAUCACCAGAAUGUUUUGAAUCACCGAAGGUGAUCACUUUUACUAUCACCAUCACCGGUGAUUGAGCCAACUUCACUCCAUUUAUCACCUGUCAAGAAACGUCAAUUUUUCAGGAGUAAAAUAUGAAUGUGGCGUAUACCGUUGAUAUUAGGAGGAGUAACAUAUGAAAGUGGCGUAUACCCAUAUAAUAUUUUAAAAUCUAAAGUUUUAUUCCUUUAGUUUUCAAUUUUUUUCAUUAAUUCGAGUCAUGUUUAUCAAUGAUGAUUUGUAUGGAUCGAAGAGUAACGUUGAAAAAAAUUACCUGCGCACAAACAAAUAAAAAAAUCACUUGUUGGUUUAAUUUAGCGCCGAUUUUUAUUUUUCAAUGGAAAUCAAUGUCACAGUCAAUUCUUUGGGAUAAAUUUGCUAGCUUUGAAAUGACACGAAUUGUUAGAUCUUCUUGAUGUUUCACAACGGAUGGCAUUCCUCUCGAAUGAGAAAGAUCCGUUAAAUAAUUUCUUGUAUAGUUUUCAUUCACUUUACGAUUAUGGCAUUUCACAGAGCUUUCAAAUGCUACCUCCAUUUUGGAAAUUUUACCCACCGGUACUACGAAUAUCCACUAUGAUUAGCAGCAACUAAUUGUCCAAAAAUAUUGCCUUAUUUAGUUCAACUCACAAGAAAAUUAAGAACGCAGUUUAAUCUUUUUUACUCGUUCAGUUGAACGAGACUGAUAUGUCGCUUACUAAGUCACGGCCAUCUAAUUCUACUGAAAAUGUUAGCAUAGAUUUUUUUAUUUUACGUUAUGUGCAACAGGAGAUGUCUACAUUCAUAAACUUAUCACUUUUCCAGAAAGCAAUUUAUCUUUGACUUUACGAAUACCCCAAUGAUAUUCCUUCAAAUAAUAAUUAUAACAUAAAUGAAUUGAUUUAAUUGAUAAAUACUACCGUUCAUUUUAUGAAUUCUUUAAACUAUAUAAACUAAGUUACUUUUCAUUUUGGUAUUUAAUUCUGACACAAUAUCAGUACGAAUUUUAUUAAAAAAUUAUCCUCUCCGACCAAUAUUGGUAGGUUGUUUAUAUCAGUGGCUUGAAAUUCACCUAACGGACAAUAAUUUAUAAAGCCACUUCUCAAAAAAUCAAAUCACUACUGAAAGUGAUAACUAAAUUGCUAUCACCUCCAUUUUGACAUGAAGGUGAUUAAAUCGCGGUGACUAUCACCUUACGUAAUGCCAACGUUUGAUAGUGAUGUUAGCCUCUCAGCAGUGGUGACAGAACUUGGUGAUUAUCACCUUACAUGAUUCCAAAUUUUCAAAAGUGAUAAUCACUUGGUGAUAAUCACCUUACAUGAUUCCACCCCUGUUCUUUUAUAAUACGAUUGACCUGUUGCAGUCAUACCCACCCCAAUUGGUCAUGGCAUGCUAUGCAUUGAUUAUUAUGAAUUCGUUUGUACACAAUGUCAAUUGUAUGGGCGCGUAUCAAUCGUGCGCGCCAAACGAAUUUGACAUUUCUCUCUCCUACUUCUAUGUAUGAGAUUCAAUGCGGACUCGCCUGAGGGUGCCAUGCUCGCUAAAAAGGAUGUUGCCAAUGAUUUGUUCGUGAAAUGUGAUAGCUGGAUAUCUAGUUAAUAAUGAUGUCCUUGAUUUUAGGUAAGAUUUUAUUAACGUAUUUUUGAACAUAGCCUAAAUAUCUAAUAUUAGAUAAAAACUACACGAGCGAAGUAAUAAUCUGAAAUUAUAAUUUUACUUAACUCCAUGGUUGCAAUAUCGAAUAUCGAUAUUUUUCGUCAAUGCUCUGAAUUAUCGAUAUCGUCGAUAUCGUGGCAAUAUCGAUAUUAUCGAUAAAUAUCGAUAAGUUUCCCAUCUCUAGACACUACGUCAAGUUCACGGAACAUUUUAACGUCGGAUACGUGAGCAAUAUUCGGCAAAAAAAUUAAUAAAAAUAAUCUGGACGUCGACGGAAGUUUAUUGAUCGUCUGAAUCGUGUUUAAUGCAUGCGUUUCAUGUCAGAGAGCCUAAUUAUGGUACGGAAAACGGGCACAGAUUUUCACCACCCAUCUGACACCGGUAUGUGAGCACCAGCCAUUUGAAAGUAUACCGAUUACGUUGAGCCCCUCGCGUUUCGAGCCCCAAACACUGCGAUGUUUUGAUACUCAUCGCGACUCUCAAAUUGUGAAAAUUAUCUCCACUUGAUGUCCCAAAACACUGUCUGCUGUAUUUUAGGUAAACCGACAAGUUAUUGUGAGAGAGUCGACCAAAAAUUCACUAAUUUUCGUGCACUAAACAAGGCAAACGCGUAAAACAAAUGUAUUACUGUUUAUUUGUUUACGUUGCAAUCAGCUGAUUUUGAAGUUCCGAUUUUGAUCCCAUCAAGAUGGCGUCGUGACAGGAGGCCGAUUUUCACAGACAGGUUUUUGGCUUGAUCACAGAUUUUUGAAAAAAGGACCUGGCAUCCCUGCCUGGCAUAACUGAUUGUUUGGAAGGGCUGUUUUUUGGGUAUUUUCGACGCGUUCUGUUAAUCGUUGUGUUUCGAGUGCUCCAAAGAAUAUUCACAACAAUCAACAUGCCGACGACCAUAGAAGAUUUACCGGCAGAAGUAAUUUUCAAAUUGAAUUUUUAAGUGCAACUAAAUUUCAUUGAAUUUUUACGCAGAUGCUGGUGGAAAUUUUCUCAUAUUUGGAAUAUGAAGACUGCCUUGCCGCAACAACUGUUUGCCGGCUCUGGUCCGUAUUGGCUCUUCGUUGGAAGGAGCUACAAGUGGUUUUGGAAUUCGAAAAAGGACCAAUCUAUCACGCUCUGUUAGCUAGUUCGAGGCCGUACCGACACUUUUCCUUUAAUUGUAGCUGCCCUUAUGUAGAUUGGGAUGAGCCGGCUCAAAUUUUGGCUAAAUUUUCGUCAACGAUUGAAAUUUUGGAGAUUUCUACCAAAAAUUCAAACGAGGAAUUUCCUGAGUUUCUAGCAAAAAUGACGACUUUGUGUACAAAUCUGAAGCGUCUUGCAAUUGAGUGGAACGAAUCAGAGCCAUCUGGGCUCGAAAUUAGUUUUCAACCACUGAAUGAUUUGAGCGAUUUGUAUUUGAGUCUCCGCGAGGAAAGUUUAUUAGAAAUUGACUUCCGGAAAGUGACGCCGAACAUCACAAACUUGCACUUAAGAACCGAUCUCAAUUUCAAGCGAGCUCAUCAAAUUCUGCAGCAUUUUAGCCCUCGAUUGAAAGAGUUGAAGGUUUGGUUUCAUGAAGCGGAUCGAUUUAAAAUUGUUUGUGAAAUGAAUUUUCCGCUGUUGAAGCAGUUGCAUUUUUUGCUCUCUAUUUCCGGUCCAGAUCAUGAUUGGUCGCUCAAUUUGUUCACGAAGUUUUUCCGGCGAUGUGCCAAUUUGGAAGACGUUACCCUUCAAAUAUGUGCCAACAUGAAGGUGCUAGAAAGCAUAGCACAGUUUUGUUGUAAUCUGCAGAGCCUUUGCUUUGACAUUCCCGAGUUACCCGAAGACUGUUUCCGAUGCCUCAGCGAAAUACGUUGUUUGAAGGUUCCUAAUUGUUUAUAUUUGUCGAAGGACUGCUAAUUGUGUUCGUUUUUUGUAGUGCCUUAGAAUUAAUAAUGCAUCGAUCCUCCCGAUCGAUGCUCCCGAUUCAAAAUACUCCAUUCGUCCAUUUAGUAAACUACAAACGUUUACGCUCUGCUAUGUUCAUGUCGAAAAUCCAACGAAACUUAAUGCAUUUUUAUCCACUUUAUGUCCCGCACUCAUCACACUCGAACUUUUGUCUUUAAGAAAUGAAGAAGAAAUUCGAAAGUUAUUUUCUCCAAUCUACUGAUCAAACGAUUGACCAUAGAGGAGGUUGGAUCUAAAAUAAAAUUGCUUUCUGUUUCGAUACUAAACUUAAUUCCAUUUAGAUUAACUCUAUGAAAGUGAACGAGCUAUUUCAUUUGGCGUCCCUUCCGCAAUUGCGUGAGUUGAGGUUGGAUUUCUUCGAAUUUAGGAAUGAUACCCAUCAUUACGGCACUAGUCUCGAUUCUAUUCGGAUUUUAAAAAUCAACGAUGGCGUAAGUAGAAUCUAAUUCAUUCACAAUCUAUUUUCAGUUUAUAAUUUCAAUUCAGCUCAAAUGUUUUGAACUAAACAACCUGUUGAGCAUGUUGCAACUUUUUCCCAAUUUGAGUCAGCUUCAUAUUAAAGGUCCCCGUUCGGAGGAAACAAUUCAAGCGGUAAGAAAACUACUACCGCAUUGUGCAAUUAUUUUCAAGAAGAAAUUGCGCAUCGUAGAGAACAAGGAUUAUCAUCUGGCCUGGUGAAAUGGAUCAUAAAAUUUGGACAUGUUGAACGUGAAAAAUGAAUUACCUGAAGCUUUUACGUGAAAAAUGAAUUACCUGAAGCUUACUCAUCGAAAACUAUUUUUAACAUUUCCUUUGGUUGCAUUUAAUCGAAUUCACGACAAUAAAAUGAUUGAUUUUUCAGAAUCGUACUUCAUAGGCUUGAAAACCGUGUUCUAGUUCUAGAGGCAUAAUUUACGUCAGUUUUCAAAUUUAAAUCUGUAAAUUAUAGCAAACUAAAACUGGCAACCCCAUCAGCGUUUUAUGUACGAUUCAGACGAUCCGGCUUCUUCCAUCACCGUCACCGGAACGUCAGCUUCCGUCAAAAUUAGUUUUAUACUUUCUUUACCGGAACGUUCACAUGCUCCGUCCGUCAAGACGUUCCGCGACGGUGAUGUAACGUGUGAAUGGCUCCAUAAGAAUGCGUGUAAUUAAUCUUGACGGUGACGGAAAAAGCCGGAUCGUCUGAAUCGUACAUUACUCGUGUUACAAAUCCAUGAUCUAUUCCACUACCUCCAGAAAUAAUUUCCUUUUACUAAAAAUUCCAGAACUAACAAAAGGAGUUUCAAAACCACCAUUCGUGCACGGAUUCAGAAAAGUUUGGAAUAAAUAACUCUUAUCUUACUUGCGAAAUUUCUUAUUAUAAUCGCUCUCUCCGUUGUCAUACAAGCAUACGAAGUAUCACCCUGUUUGUUGGCAUCAGAGAUGCCAGGUAAAAAUUUCAAAUAUCUGCAGACAGGGUCUGUAAAACUGAAAAAAAAUCUGCAGUCAGCAAGUAUGUCUUGCUGGCAGCAAUUUCUCUAUAAAGCAUGAAACGCAAAACUGACUUGGCGAGCAAAAAAAAAGGUCGCGGAAAUUUCAAGUCUGUAAACAUAAACGAAAGUCUGCGAGAAUUUCAAAAGUCUACGAGAAUUUCAAAAGUUUGCAAAAGUCUGCACAACAAAAAAUGUCUGCAGCACUAUACUCCAAAUCUGCAGAUAUACAGACAAAUCUGCAGACCUGGCAUCUCUGGUUGGCAUGGAGCACGGAGGGCGAAACUUGCGAAAAAACAAAUGGAAUGACAGUUUCGCCCUUUAUGCUUCUUUGUAAUUCUAAGACCCGCCCGGUCUUUUGGCUGCCUGGGCAGCCAUGGCCCCCAGACGGCUACCAAAAUUGAUUCAGUGACGGCUGUCAAAUCAAAUUUGGCAAAACAAAGUCGCCUGUACCUUAGUUAGUUGAGCGUUUCCCCCCGUUCACCUUCGCUGAGCUUGAGCUUGAGCUUGAGCGACCACCCCUGGUUGCUACUCCGUUACUGAUCGGAAUUAGCUGAAAUUGUACAGGGAGUUUCUAGAUGAUCCGACCUGGGACUGGUAAAUCAUCCUUCAAUGUACAUCUUCUGGUAAUCCCAGAAUUGAUUGAUCAGUACCGGCGCCGGCCAGGCCCGAACGUAGAUCGUCUAAGGAAUGGGAAGGGAUGUUAGUCCAACACUUGUUAUUACUAGAGGCCGUAUACUUCUGCGCACUCCACAAGUGUCACGGGAGAAGGAUAUUUGUUAGUAAAAAUUUCAGUAUUGCUAUUAUUCGCGCGCGACUCAGUAUGUUCCGGUUUCAAGAUGCUCGGAUGCACCACUACACUCACUGACUCCUCGAGUGAACGUUUCAACAAUAUCCUAUAUUGAAGUCCCGGGAAGUCUUGAUUCACAGCUCUUAUUCGAGUAAACUGAAGAAAACUUUGCAAUACUAUCACGUAAAGAAUAAAAACUUCCCUAUUUUUUAGAAAUGAAAUUACGUGAUACAAAAUAAACGAGUGAAUAGGAUUUAGACAAAAUAGUUGAUUCAUUGCAUUGACAUAUUUUAAACAGUUGUUAUAAAAUCAUUUUAAAUCACCAAAUAAAGGUCAACAGGUUUCACGCGCGUCUUCAAUCUGUAUUAUUUCCGCUUUAUUAUUUUAAUUGUUUAUUAAAAUUAUUAAUUAGUUAUAUUGGUUGAUCUGGGCAGCCGGCUACCGAAAAAAAUUUUAAUUUAUUGUUUGAAAUAUUAAUAUCAAGUGUUUUUUACUAUGUAUUCAAUACACCGAUAUAUGUUAUCUCUGUUAUUAACUUUGUAAUAUCAACGGAUUUGCGCAAUAGUUGAUUUUUAUUAUUCAAUUUAUAAUCCUGAAAGACAAUCAAUAGCAUGGAAGAAGAAAACAUUCCAAAUAAAACUUUUCUCCGAAGCUAGACGGAAAUUGAUAGGUUGAAUGAAGAGAUAAUUUAGUAAAAUAGAGUAAUCAGAAGUGAAACAUUGAAAUUAUCUGAUAACUGAAAGGAAAAAGAAACUCCUGCAUUUGUCGCCUUUUACGACAUGGAAGCAGGAACCCAGUGGAUCUAUUUUUGGUUCAUUUUUUUCCGCCGGAUUCCACACGGCAUUUAGGCUGGUACUGUCCGGAGAGAGCUAAUAGGUAUAUCAAUCUCCUAGUGGACCCCAGCCCCUUCCCCCCCGUUCACCUUCGCUGAAAAUGUUUAAAAUUUCGAUGUUGAAAAAUCCUGGUGGAUACGGUUGUAUCGUUUGAGGUGUAUUUCUGGCAGCGGUGAAACAGUCGGUCACUAGAAUGGCUGCCAGCCAAAUUUUGCCCGCUGGCAGCGUUUAGUCAGCAGUCUAGCAGCCAUGCUCAUGCGGACGACUGUGAACCAGAGAUGCCAGAUAUUUUCAUAUAAAAUCUGUAUUACCCUGAAUAAAAAAUCUGUAUAUAUUGCGCAUUUCAUACUUGAUUAGACUCCUGCGAAAUAAAUAUUUGCACAGUCCAUUUCCCGCAGUACACACAUACAAAUAAUGUACGAUUCAGACGAUCCGGCUUCUUCCGUCACCGUCACCGGAACGUCAGCCUCCGUCAAAAUUAGUCAAACGAGUUUUCCUUUUGCGCAUUCACACGAUCCAGCAGAGAUCCGGAACGUCAACGUCCGUCAACGGCAAGCUCCGUCAACAUUUCUCCGAAAGAAUAUUUGACGGACUGUGAUUAUCGCACACAUGCACGAUUCAUAUGAUUACGGUAUUGAGCUGACGUUUGUUAUGUAUGUAUUCGGUGUCAAGAUCCCACUCUUAAACAAAAUAUACCACAUAUAGGUAAUUAAAUUUAUCAGUAGAUUUGCAAAGUACGUUACGUUGGUGAAUGGAACACAUUGUUUUGUUUUUUCCUCUUUCUAGCUAAUUUUGAAAGUUAUUUAUUCGAUUAAAAGGUAGGAAAACAACAGAUUGAUUGGCUUCAAAAGCUCCCAGAUUUUGUAUUAGUGGAAUAAAAUUGUGCGAAACUAAGUUCUUAAAAUUCUGCGUGUAAGAAAAUGACAUGACGGACACGGAUAGGAAACCGGAUCGUGUGAAUUAGAAUGACGGUGACGGACGUUGACGUUCCGGUGACGGUGACGGAAGAAGCCGGACGGUCUGAAUCGUACUUAAUGCAGCUCGCCGUCAGUGUAGCGUCCGUCCGGCAAACACAAAUUCGUCGUCACCGAUAUUUUUUUAUUUUCACUGAAGUCGCUAUGUCACUGCAUUUGCUGUGCCGGAACGGAUACAGCACGGAAAUAGAACGGAAGGAUUCCGACAAAAAAAGAACACUGAUGACGCACUGAAGGCACUUUCACUGAACCGUCACGGAACUGAAAUGUGUGAACGGACGUUGACGUUCCGGUGACGGUGACGGAAGAAGCCGGACGGUGACGGAAGAAGCCGGACGGUCUGAAUCGUACUUAAGUCCAGUUUAUGAAAACUAGUGAUGCCACUUAUGCAGAUUUAUACCUGAAUUUACAGAUUUCUGAUUGACGCCGUAGAUAUUCAAGAAUUGUACUCAUUAUCAAAUGUUAAAUGGACAUUUUGGAAAUUUACUUCUUUAGAUCAUUUAGCUUUCAUUUUGCACGAUAAAAUGCGAUAAUUUUGCCAAUUGUCACUGCAACAAUUUAAUAGCACAUACUUUUUAAAACCUGCUUAAAAUUUUAACCUGGCAUCCCUGAUGUGCACGGCUAAUUGCAUUUCUUGAAACAUUAGAAAAGGUCCCAAGUGUAAAUGACAGUUUCUCUUGCUUUACUCUAAUGUCUCUUUCAAUUACUUAUUAUUCCUGUAUUUUUCGACAAAUUCUUAAGUGCAGAUCAAAAGUUGAUGGUUUCAGUCAUCAUUCUAAGUGUUAGGGAGAGGGAUUGCCGAUAGACACGUACUAAUAGUGGCCCUUACACGAUCAUUAAAAGUGUCAUUACUAAGUAAUGACACUUCUGCUCAAACGCUCGUCAUUACUGCAUUACUGUACAUCAUUGCUUUUUAGCAUUACACGUUCAUUAUUAAUGAUGAGUAUUUGUAACUACUCCAGCAAUAGCAAUAUUUUUAUUUUCGUUUAGCUGAAAAUAAAUUUGAUUUGCCAUUGAAACGUUAAGGUUAAUGAAAUAUUAACAAUUUAAAUCUACACUUUGUCAUUCUUUCGCGUAUAGUUCUAAAGAUAUUCAUCACUUCCACAAAAAAAAUAAGAAGAAGAAAUAAUGUUGGUAAUGAUGGAAAAUCCACAAUUCCAUCAUUACUGAACUCGUAGACCUUACACGAUCAUUAAAAGUGCCAUUCCUUUUUAGUAAUGACACUUUUAAUGAUCGUGUAAGGGCCGCUAUAGAAAUCUCGUCAUUAUUGCACCAUUACACGUUCAUUAAAAUGAUAUCAUUUUUUACUAAUGACAUAUUUAAUGACUCAUGUAAGGGCCGCUAAUCAAAAUAGAGAGAGUGACCAAAGAGAAACUGUCAUUUGCACUUAGAACCUUUUCUAGUGUAUGUCUUCAUUUGUACUAAUAUUAGUGUGCCGACGACUAUAGAAGAUUUACCGGAAGAAGUAAUUUUCAAAUUCAAUUGUUGCAUACAGCUUAAAUUCAUAAAAUUUUUACUCAGAUGCUGGUGAAAAUUUUCUCAUAUCUGGAAUUUGAAGAAUGCCUAACCGCAACAACUGUUUGCCGGCUCUGGUCCGGAUUGGCUCUACGUUGGAAGGAGCUACAAGUGGUUUUGAUAUUCCAUAGAGGCACAUUUUAUCGCGCUCUGUUAGACAGUACGCGACCGUACCGACACUUUUCCUUUCGUUUUGUCUACUUCUCCAGAUUCGUAUCAGCCGGCUCAAUUUUUAGCAAAAUUUUCGUCAACGAUUGAAACACUGGAGAUAUGUACCGAUAAUUCAUACAAGGGAUUUCCCGAGUCUCUAGCAAAAAUGACAACUUUGUGUACAAAUCUGAAGCGUCUUGCAAUUAAGUGGAUCGGGUCAUUGCCAUCUGGACCCGAAAUUAAUUUUCAACCACUGAAUGAUUUGAGCGAUUUGUGUGUGAGUCUCAGGGAGGAAAGUUUAUUAGAAAUUGACUUCAGGAAAGUGACACCGAACAUUACUAGCUUGCAUUUAGGAAUCGAUUCUAAUUUCGAGCGAUCUCAACAAAUUCUGCAGCAUUUUAGCCCUCGAUUGGAAGAGUUGUCGAUGGGAUUUCGUUCUGCGGACCAUUUAACAACUGAUUAUGAAAUGAAUUUUCCGCUGUUGAAAAAGUUACAUUUCUACGGCUUUGGUAUCAUUAUAAAUAAUAAUUGGUCGCUCAAUUUGUUCACGAAGUUUUUCCGGCGAUAUGCCAAAUUGGAAAGCGUUACUCUUCAUAUAAGGGUCAACAUGCUGUUGCUAGAAAGCUUAGCACAGUUUUGUUGUAAUCUGCAGAGCCUUUGCUUUGGCAUUGCCGAGUUAUCCGAAGACUGUUUCCGGUGCCUUAGCGAAAUGCGUUGUUUGAAGGUACCUAAUGACGAUAUUUUUUGAAGGACUGCUAAUUGUGUUCGUUCUUUUCUUCUAGUGCAUUAGAAUCGAGCAUGCAACGAUCCAUACUCCCGAUUCAAAACAUUUCAUUCGUCCAUUUAGUAAGCUACAAAUGCUUACGCUCUGUGGUGUUCGUGUCGCAAAUCCAACGAAAUGUAAUACUUUUUUAUCCACUUUAUGUCCCGCACUCAUCACACUCGAGCUUUUGCAUAUACAAAUCAAUACGCGGACCCUAGCAAGUCACAAAGUAAUUUGCUUCAAUCUACUGAUCAAACGAUUGAUCAUAAAGGAGGUUGGAUUUAAAAUAAAAUUUUAUUUUUGUUUCGAUACCAUACUUAAUUCCAUUUAGAUCUAUAUGAAAGUGAACGAGCUAUCUCAUUUCGCCUCCCUUCCGCAAUUGCGUGGGUUGAGGUUGGAUUUCUGGGAAUUUAAGAAUGAUACCCAUCAUUACGGCACUAGUCUCGAUUCUAUUCGGAUUUUUAAACUCAACCUCAAAUAUUUCGAACUAAGCAACCUGUUGAGCAUGUUGCAACUCUUUCCCAAUUUGAGCCAGCUUUACCUUAGAGGUACCCGUUCGGAGAAAACAAUUCAAGCGGCAAGAAAACUACUACCGCAUUGUGCAAUUAUUUUCAAGAAGGAAUUGCGCAUCGUAGAGAGCAUGGAUUAUCGUCAGGCGUGGUGAAAUGAAUCACAAAAUGUGGACAUGUUGAACGUGAAAAAUGAAUUACCUGAAGCUUUUUCCGAUUAGAGAGAAAAGCAUUUACUCAUCGAAAUUUAUUUUUAACAUUUCCUUUGGUUGCAUUUGAUCGAAUUCACGACAAUAAAAUGAUUGAUUUUCCAGAAUCGUACUUCAUAGGCUUGAAAACCAUGUUCUAGAAGUGUUCUAGUUCUAGAGGUUAUAUCUUUCUACUGCCCAUCAAGUAGAAAAAUCUAAAAUUUUGAAUGAGUGGAUUAACAUUUAGCUUUUUUGACAGUUAAUUUGAGUUUCUUAUGUGAAAUAGAGAAAUCGUGAGAAGGCACACCACGUUAGUUCAAGAACCUAACGUGUCAAACCAAACUAGUCAGCAAAGUGCAAGAUCCCGGAAAGAACAAGAUCCUACCUGCCACAAAAUAAAAUACUACUUCUGUCAAUCAGUCUUCCUUGCCAUUGAGUAAUGACCAUAAUAAUCACAAGCCGUAAUAGUAGAAUAAAAUACACACUAAAUCCUUCGUUCAUGUUCCAUAGUUAAAAACAAAUCGGUUAAAGUUUGUAAAGAAAUAUCAACACAAUGUAGGAGGAAAAAAAGACAAAAACCGAUAAAAUUGGUAGUCACAGAAUGCGAAAUAAGGACAGGAUAAUUAGAUAAUUAAUAUGUUGAAUGAUUGAAGUCGUAAGCAAACAAACAAAACAAGUAUUUUCCGAUACCAACGCAACGCAAAACGCAGUGAAUUGAAUAAAACCAUUGAACAAGUUGA